UAGAAAUGAAACUCGAAUUUUUUUUUUCCAUCAAACCCAUACGUGUGGGGUAUCUAUGGAUAGGUCUUUAAAAAAUGAUAUUGAGGUUUCUAAUAUCAUAUCUUUCUAAACUGAAUAGUUUGCGCGAGAGACACUUCCAAAGUGGUAAAAUGUGUCCCCCCUGUAACUUCUAAAAUAAGAGAAUGAUAAAACUAAAAAAAAUAUAUGAUGUACAUUACCAUGCAAACUUCGACCAAAAAUUGGUUUGAACGAGAUCUAGUAAGUAGUUUUUUUUUAUACGUCACAAAUCAACUGAAACUCAAUUUUUUUUUCAUCAAACCCAUACGUGUGGGGUAUCUAUGGAUAGGUUUUCAAAAAUGAUAUUGAGGUUUCUAAUA